rnacentral:rRNA from 1 species
CCUACGGGCGGCUGCAGUGGGGAAUAUUGCACAAUGGGCGAAAGCCUGAUGCAGCAACGCCGCGUGAAGGAAGAAGGGUUUAUGCUCGUUAACUUCUAUCAACAGGGACGAAAGAAAUUACGGUACCUGAAUAAGAAGCCCCCGCUAACUACGUGCCAGCAGCCGCGGUAAUACGGAGGGGGCAAGCGUUAUCCGGAAUUACUGGGUGUAAAGGUUGAGUAGGCGUCAUGGUAAGCCAGAUGUGAAAGCCUUGGGCUUAACCCGAGGAUUGCAUUUGGAACUAUCAUGCUGGAGUACAGGAGAGGAAAGCGGAAUUCGUAGUGUAGCGGUGAAAUGCGUAGAUAUUAGGAAGAACACCAGUGGCGAAGGCAGCUUUCUGGACUGAAACUGACGCUGAGGCACGAAAGCGUGGGGAGCGAACAGGAUUAGAUACCCGAGUAGUC